CUGUUUUAAGACUGGUCAGUUUUACGGUGAGGGAGAAAGAGGACUGGGUAAGACGGUCAGUUUACGGGGAGGGAGAAAGAGGACUGUUAAGACUGGUCAGUUUACUGGAGAGAAAGAGGACGUUAAACUGGUCAGUUUACUGUGGAGGGAGAAAGAGGACUUUUAAACCUGGUCAGUUUUUACUGUGGGGGAGAAAGAGGACUGUUAAGACGGUCAGUUUCUUACUGUGGAGGGAGAGAGAGGACUGUUAAGACUGGUCAGUUUACGGUGGAGGGAGAAAGAGGACUGUUAAGCUACCUGUCCAACAUGGUCCUAGUGGUCCUCAGUCCCCACUACCUUCUCAACAUGUCCUAGUGGUCUCAGUCCCAGCUACUGUCUCAACAUGUCCUAGUGUUCCUCAUCCCAGCUAACUGUCUCAACAUGUCCUAGUGGUCCUCAUUCCCAGCGACCUGUCUCACAUGUCCUAGUGGUCCUCAGUCCCCAGCACCUGUCUCAACAUGUCCUAGUGGUCCUCAGUCCCCAGCUACCUGUCUCAACAUGUACGAGUUGUCCUCAGUACCUGUCUCAACAUGUCCUAGGGGUCCUCAGGUCCCAGCUACCUGUCUCAACAUGUCCUAGUGGUCGUCCUCAUCCCCAGCUACCUUCUCAAACUGUCCUAGUGGUCCUCAGUCCCCAGCUACCUGUCUCAACAUGUCCUAGUGGUCCUACAGUCCACACUACCUGUCUCAACAUGUCCUAGUGGUCCUCAGUCCCCAGCUACCUGUUCAACAUGGUCUAGUGGUCCUCAGUCCCAGCUAACCUGUCUCAACAUGUCCUAGUGGUCCUCAGUCCCCAGCUACCUUCUCAACAGUCCUAGUGGUCCUCAGUCCCAGCUACCUGUCUCAACAGUCCUAGUGGUCCUCAGUCCCCACUACCUGUCUCAACAUGUCCUAUGGGUCCUCAGUCCCCAGCUACCUGUCUCAACAUGUCGUCCAGUGGUCCUCAUCCCCAGCUUACCUGUCGCAACAUGUCCCUAG
rnacentral:lncRNA from 1 species